CGUUGUUCGGAUUCACUGGGCGUAAAGGGUGCGUAGGCGGUCGGGUAAGUCUGAUGUGAAAUCUCACAGCUUAACUGUGAAACUGCAUUGGAUACUAUUCGGCUAGAGAGUUGGAGGGGGACUGGAAUUCUUGGUGUAGCAGUGAAAUGCGUAGAUAUCAAGAGGAACACCAGUGGCGAAGGCGAGUCCCUGGACAACUUCUGACGCUGAGGCACGAAAGCUAGGGGAGCAAACAGG
rnacentral:rRNA from 1 species